ACAGCACCGCCACGGUAAUACGAGGGGGGCAAGCGUUGUUCAGAAUUAUUGGGCGUAAAGGGUGCGUAGGCGGUUUGACAAGUCUUAUGUGAAAUCUUCGGGCUCAACCCGAAGCCUGCAUGGGAAACUGUCGAGCUUGAGUAUGGGAGAGGUGAGUGGAAUUUCCGGUGUAGCGGUGAAAUGCGUAGAUAUCGGAAGGAACACCUGUGGCGAAAGCGGCUCUUUGGUCUGUAACUGACGCUGAGGCGCGAAAGUGUGGGGAGCAAACAGGAUUAGAUACCCCCGUAGUCCCUGUCUCUUAUACA
rnacentral:rRNA from 1 species